rnacentral:sRNA from 1 species
GAAAUUCCUACAUAUUGCCAUUGGCACAUCCUUUGAUCAUCUAAAUAGAGAUCCAAGUUUUGGCAAGCCUUAGAGUGAUUUCCUAUUCCAGAUGAAGAAGAUGUGAUGAUUUUGCUUGGGAGAUACUUACAUAUUCAUAAGGACAUGGAGCACUGAAACAAGCAAGAGUUCUGAAGUUCACCGAGAAGCAGGUCUGAUAAAAUGCUGAAAGUUCCAUGAAACGUUAUAGAACCACUUUUUUCUGCACACUCUAUAUCACUGUGUCAGUUUGGUGUCAGCAUAAUAGUAAGCUGUAACUUUAAUGGCAACAAGUUAUAGAUAUUCUCUGAGGAGGCAAUCUCAAGGGAAAAACCUCAAAGAGAAAACAUCAAGGACAUUGGAAGACUCUGUAGCAGAUGACCCCAUAAACUACAAGCAACAUCAAACAAAGUCAGAAGCCCUCCUCAAAUUAACAUUAAACUUCAAAAUGAAUGCCCUCCUUAUCACUUCUUACCUACAAGUCAAUCGCAUCAACUUUUAAACUGAAUAUAAAAAGGCAUGCUGAAGAUAAUAAGAACACUCCAUCUGAAAACAUUAACGCAUCAUUCAUCAGAAUCAGCCCCAGAUAAGACACAGGUGUUGGAGUUCUAAGAAGAUCUGCCCUACAAGAAAGGCUAAAAGAUUUGCUUUGGGAAGAAGGAAAUAAUGCCAGAAACAUUUAUAUCCCCCAAGACAGUUCAAGGUAAACUAAUGAAAGAAGAAACCUAUCUAUAUUGUAUUUCUGAAAUUGAAGUAUAUGAAGUUAAAAGGAGUCAACCAAGGAUAGAGAACGAUUGGUACCAUUGACUACAGGAAACUUCCAGAAAAUUAAUUUUAGUACAGAAGGAAUUGAGACAUGGAGGGUGUAACGUCAAAAGAGGAGCUCCAAAUGAAUGUGUGGAGGGCAGAAAAAGAGAAAUGUGUCAGUUUGAUUUUCCCUCUUAAGAAACCACAAAGUUGACAGUGGCCCGAAGUGUCAACUAGGCACUGUUCUUUAGGAUUGUGUCACUGAAAAGAAAAUGUUCUUGAGUUCUGAAGUACAGCCUGGGCAAGAAAGAACAAGAGUUUUCUCUCUGUAAUUCAGUGGAAUUGAAAUUCUUCGACCCAGGCAACAGACUGCAAUAGAAAUGAGAGCAUGAACAUUCAGAGCCAGACUUCCAGGGCCUUCUGCUUUUCUGUGACUUCCAUGACUCCAUUAUGAAUCUUCAUCUAGACUGACCUGUUGCAGGAUUAGACCAAUGUCAUAGAACCCAGUCAGUCCAUACCUUCUGCCUGUAUCCUUAACAUCACUGUGAGAGGCCAGCUAAGGUUAAGCCUCAUGUAAAUUUAACUUAAAACUUGGACAAAUCUUGGCCUAAUAACCUGGCAGAUGCUUGCAUCCCACAUGCCUUGCUGGAUAUCUUUUCCUGAGUCUUUGGGCUGUAACUCAGACACACAAAUCAAGUUUUCUAUGUACUGGAUUCCUGACAUUUUCAAAGAGACAGUGCCUAGAAAGAGUCAGUGACAGAAAAUAUGAAGAGAGGAUACAAUGAGAACACAGUGUGGAAACCUGCCCUAAGGAAGCAAGCAGAAAGGAGGAAAGCAUUUGCAGCCUGGGAAGCAAAUGGUGCUGUUAGAAAGUACAUCUUUCCAGAAGAAACUGUGUUGACUACCUGAUCUUCAUGACAAAUAAACAUGAGUUGAUGGAAAAAUGUUCUUUAAAGGCCUAUGUGCUGAAGGUUUUGCUGCUAGCCAUUGAAACCCUUGGGGAGGGGUGACUUUAUGAUGUGUGGUCUCGUUGGAGGAAGUUGGAUCUUUGGGCAAUAGUCUUGAAAAGAAUUCUAGGACCCAGGAACUUUCUUCAUUGUCACGAAGAGCUUCCUUCAUCAUGCAUUCCUGGCAUGAGAUGCUGCCUGGUCUCACAUACAAAAGCAAUAUAAACUGACCAUGGACUGAAUCUUUCAAACUGUGAGCCAAAAUAAACU